rnacentral:rRNA from 1 species
UACGGGAGGCAGCAGUGGGGAAUAUUGCACAAUGGGCGCAAGCCUGAUGCAGCCAUGCCGCGUGUAUGAAGAAGGCCUUCGGGUUGUAAAGUACUUUCAGUCGUGAGGAAGGUGUUAAGGUUAAUAACCUUAGCAAUUGACGUUAGCGACAGAAGAAGCACCGGCUAACUCCGUGCCAGCAGCCGCGGUAAUACGGAGGGUGCGAGCGUUAAUCGGAAUUACUGGGCGUAAAGGGCACGCAGGCGGUUAAUUAAGUUGGAUGUGAAAUCCCCGGGCUUAACCUGGGAAUGGCAUUCAAGACUGGUUAGCUAGAGUCUUGUAGAGGGGGUAGAAUUCCAUGUGUAGCGGUGAAAUGCGUAGAGAUGUGGAGGAAUACCUGUGGCGAAAGCGGCCUCCUAAACGAAUACUGACACUGAGGGUGCGAAAAGCGUGGGGAGCAAAACAGGAUUAGAUACC